GAUGAACGCUGGCGGCGUGCCUAAUACAUGCAAGUCGAGCGAACAGACGAGGAGCUUGCUCCUCUGACGUUAGCGGCGGACGGGUGAGUAACACGUGGAUAACCUACCUAUAAGACUGGGAUAACUUCGGGACACCGGAGCUAAUACCGGAUAAUAUAUUGAACCGCAUGGUUCAAUAGUGAAAGACGGUUUUGCUGUCACUUAUAGAUGGAUCCGCGCCGCAUUAGCUAGUUGGUAAGGUAACGGCUUACCAAGGCAACGAUGCGUAGCCGACCUGAGAGGGGGAGCGGCCACACUGGAACUGAGACACGGUCCAGACUCCUACGGGAGGCAGCAGUAGGGAAUCUUCCGCAAUGGGCGAAAGCUUGACGGAGCAACGCCGCGUGAGUGAUGAAGGGCUUCGGAUCGUAAAACUCUGUUAUUAGGGAAGAACAAAUGUGUAAGUAACUAUGCACGUCUUGACGGUACCUAAUCAGAAAGCCACGGCUAACUACGUG
rnacentral:rRNA from 1 species